GAUGAACGCUGGCGGCGUGCCUAAUACAUGCAAGUCGAGCGAACAGACGAGGAGCUUGCUCCUCUGACGUUAGCGGCGGACGGGUGAGUAACACGUGGAUAACCUACCUAUAAGACUGGGAUAACUUCGGGAAACCGGAGCUAAUACCGGAGAAUAUAUUGAACCGCAUGGUUCAAUAGUGAAAGACGGUUUUGCUGUCACUUAUAGAUGGAUCCGCGCCGCAUUAGCUAGUUGGUAAGGUAACGGCUUACCAAGGCAACGAUGCGUAGCCGACCUGAGAGGGGGAUCGGCCACACUGGAACUGAGACACGGUCCAGACUCCUACGGGAGGCAGCAGUAGGGAAUCUUCCGCAAUGGGCGAAAGCCUGACGGAGCAACGCCGCGUGAGUGAUGAAGGUCUUCGGAUCGUAAAACUCUGUUAUUAGUGAAGAACAAAUGUGUAAGUAACUAUGCACGUCGUGACGGUACCUAAUCAGAAAGCCACGGCUAACUACGUG
rnacentral:rRNA from 1 species